rnacentral:tRNA from 1 species
GAAGGUAUAGCUUAGUGGUAGAGUGCAUGCCUAGCAUGAACAAGGUCAUGGGUUUAAUCCCAGUACCUCCA